UGGGGGAUAUUGCACAAUGGAGGAAACUCUGAUGCAGCAAUGCCGCGUGAGGGAAGAAGGUCUUCGGAUUGUAAACCUUUGUCCUAUGGGAAGAUAAUGACGGUACCAUGGGAGGAAGCUCCGGCUAACUACGUGCCAGCAGCCGCGGUAAUACGUAGGGAGCAAGCGUUGUUCGGAAUUACUGGGCGUAAAGCGCACGCAGGCGGCGUGGCGCGUCAGAAGUGAAAUCCCCGGGCUCAACCUGGGAACUGCUUUUGAAACGGUCAUGCUUGAAUCAUGGAGAGGGUAGCGGAAUUCCGAGUGUAGAGGUGAAAUUCGUAGAUAUUCGGAAGAACACCGGUGGCGAAGGCGGCUACCUGGCCAUGUAUUGACGCUCAGGUGCGAAAGCGUGGGGAGCAAACA
rnacentral:rRNA from 1 species